ensembl:lncRNA
CGGGCGGCGAAGCCGCAGAGGCGGUCGGGCUUCCAGCGAAGCCGCAGCGUUCGCCAGCGGGCGGGCGCGUCGGACGCCGUUAUAAAUCCUUGGCGGCGCCGCCCGUGGAGGUAGCGGCUACCUGGUUGAUCCUGCCAGUAGCAUAUGCUUGUCUCAAAGCUUAAGCCAUGCAUGUCUAAAGUACACACAGGCGGUACAGUGAAACUGCGAAUGGCUCAUUAAAUCAGUUAUGGUUCCUUUGGUCGCUCCUCUCCCGCUCCUUGGAUAACUGUGGUAAUUCUAGAGCUAAUACAUGCCGGCGGCGCCGACCUCGGGGGGCAGCGUGCAUUUAUCGGGCCAAAACCAACCGGGCCCGCCCGGCAGCUUUAGUGACUCUAGGUAACCUCGAGCGAUCGCGCGCCCGCGGCGGCGGCGACCCGUUCGAAUGUCUGCCCUAUCAGCUUUUCGAUGGUACUGUCUGUGCCUACCAUGGUGACCCACGGGUGGCGGGGAAUCAGGGUUCGAUUCGGAGAGGGAGCCUGAAAGCGGCUACCACAUCCAAGGAAGGCAGCAAGCGCGCAAAUUACCCACUCCCGACCGGGGGAGGUAGUGGCGAAAAAUAACAAUACAGGACUCUUUCGGGGCCCUGUAAUUGGAAUGGCGCACUUUAAAUCCUUGGCGGGGAUCCAUUGGAGGGCAAGUCUGGUGCCAGCAGCCGCGGUAAUUCCAGCUCCAAUAGCGUAUCUUAAAGUUGCUGCAGUUAAAAGCUCGUGGUUGGAUCUUGGGAUCGAGCUGGCGGUCCGCCGCGAACCACCGCCUGUCCCCCUACCUCACCGGCCCCCCUCGAUGCUCUUAGCUGGGUGUCCGGGGCCGGCGUUUACUUUGAGAAGGUUAGGUGUUCAAAGCAGGCGGCCGCCGGCAUACUGCAUCUAGGAAUAAUGGAAUAGGACUCGGUUCUAUUUUGUUGGUUUUAGAAGCGGGGCCAUGUUUAAGAGGGGCGGCGGGGCAUUAUAUUGUGCGCUAGAGGUGAAAUUCUUGGACGGCGCCAAGGCGGCCUAGGCGAAGCAUUUGCCAAGAUGUUUUCAUUAAUCAGGAACGAAAGUGGAGUUUGAAGGCGAUCAGAUACCGUCGUAGUUCCGACCAGCGAUGCCGACUGGCGAUCAAGGCGUUAUUCCCAUGACCGCGGACGGCCCGGAAAGGCAAGUCUUUGGGUUCCCGGGGGAAUAUGGUUCCAAAGCUGAAACUUAAGGAUUGGCGGAAGGGCACCACCAGGAUUGGAGCCUGCGGCAAAUUGACUCAACAGGGAAGCCUCACCCGGCCGGACCGCGGACAGGAUUGACAGGUUGAGAGCUCUUUUCGGUUCGUGGGUGGUGGUGCAUGGCCGUUCUUAGUUGGUGGGCGAUUUGUCUGGUUAAUUGCCGAUAAGCAGCGAGACUCUGGCAUGCUAACUCAGUUCACGCGACCCCGGCAGUGCGCCCUCUUAGAGGGACGAGUGGCGUUCAGCCACCGAGUUUGAGCACCCUACAGGUCUGUGGUGCCCUUAGAUGUCGGGGCCUUGCGCUACACUGACUGGCUCAACUUGUUUCCUUACCCUCCGCCCGGCGAGCGGGAGUACCCGUUGAACCCCGUUCGCUGAUGGGGAUGGGGAUUUGGUCUUCCCGUGAGCGAGGAAUUCCCAGUAAGUCCGGGUCAUAAGCUUCGCGCGUUGAUUAGGGUCCUGCCCUUUGUACACACCGCCCGUAAGCUACUACCGUUGGAUGGGUUUGGUACGGGGUCCUUUCGGAUUCGGCCCCGGUGUCGACCCCGACCCUGCAGUGUCGGAGCGGUUGAACCGACUAUCUAGAGGAAGUGUAAAAGUCGUAACAAGGUUUCCGUAGGUGAGCCUUGCGGAAGGAUAAUUACCGGUGGGGCUUCGGCGCCUGCCGUUGCGGGCGUCCGGCGCGCGGCGCUGGCGUCCGCCACCCCCGCUCCGUUCCGCCUUCGGCCCCG